rnacentral:rRNA from 1 species
UACGUAGGGUGCGAGCGUUAAUCGGAAUUACUGGGCGUAAAGCGUGCGCAGGCGGUGAUGUAAGGCCGAUGUGAAAUCCCCGGGCUUAACCUGGGAACUGCAUUGGUGACUGCAUUGCUGGAGUAUGGCAGAGGGGGGUGGAAUUCCACGUGUAGCAGUGAAAUGCGUAGAGAUGCGGAGGAACACCGAUGGCGAAGGCAGCCCCCUGGGCUGACACUGACGCUCAGGCACGAAAGCGUGGGGAGCAAACAGG